rnacentral:tRNA from 1 species
UGGAAAGAUAGCGAAGAGGCUAAACGCGGCGGACUGUAAAUCCGCUCCUUCGGGUUCGGGGGUUCGAAUCCCUCUCUUUCCAUCCU